rnacentral:rRNA from 1 species
UUUGGGCUGUUACUGACGUGAGGAGGAAAGCAUGGGGAGGAACAGGAUUAGAUACCCUGGUAGUCCAUGCCGUAAACGUUGGGCACUAGGUGUGGGGGACAUUCCACGUUUUCCGCGCCGUAGCUAACGCAUUAAGUGCCCCGCCUGGGGAGUACGGCCGCAAGGCUAAAACUCAAAGGAAUUGACGGGGGCCCGCACAAGCGGCGGAGCAUGCGGAUUAAUUCGAUGCAACGCGAAGAACCUUACCAAGGCUUGACAUUCACCGGACCGCCCCAGAGAUGGGGUUUCCCUUCGGGGCUGGUGGACAGGUGGUGCAUGGUUGUCGUCAGCUCGUGUCGUGAGAUGUUGGGUUAAGUCCCGCAACGAGCGCAACCCUCGUUCUAUGUUGCCAGCACGUGAUGGUGGGGACUCAUAGGAGACUGCCGGGGUCAACUCGGAGGAAGGUGGGGAUGACGUCAAAUCAUCAUGCCCCUUAUGUCUUGGGCUUCACGCAUGCUACAAUGGCCGGUACAAAGGGUUGCGAUACUGUGAGGUGGAGCUAAUCCCAAAAAGCCGGUCUCAGUUCGGAUUGAGGUCUGCAACUCGACCUCAUGAAGUCGGAGUCGCUAGUAAUCGCAGAUCAGCAACGCUGCGGUGAAUACGUUCCCGGGCCUUGUACACACCGCCCGUCAAGUCACG